rnacentral:pre_miRNA from 1 species
GAUUUCAACUAAAAUAAGUCAUCAACAACAAAGUUGUAUAACUCAUCAUGACCUAUAACUUUUAUUUUUAUCGUUUCUUCAUCCGACAAAGUGUUAGUAAUAUUGUUCCCAAAAUUUACAUAUAUGUGUUAUAGUUUAUAAACCAGAUGAGAGAUAUGUGAAUUUUAUAAACAAUGUUACUAUCACUUUGUUGGAUGAAGAAAUGACCAAAAUAAAUGUUAUAGAUCUUGAUAAGUUAUACAACUUUGUUGUUGUUGAUGACUUUUCCAUUUGAAAUC